GCGGCGUGCCUAAUACAUGCAAGUCGAGCGCAAUGAUGAGGAGCUUGCUCCUCUGAUUUAGCGGCGGACGGGUGAGUAACACGUGGGUAAUCUGCCUGUAAGACGGGGAUAACUCCGGGAAACCGGGGCUAAUACCGGAUAAUAAGAGAAGAAGCAUUUCUUCUUUUUGAAAGUCGGUUUCGGCUGACACUUACAGAUGAGCCCGCGGCGCAUUAGCUAGUUGGUGAGGUAACGGCUCACCAAGGCGACGAUGCGUAGCCGACCUGAGAGGGUGAUCGGCCACACUGGGACUGAGACACGGCCCAGACUCCUACGGGAGGCAGCAGUAGGGAAUCUUCGGCAAUGGGCGAAAGCCUGACCGAGCAACGCCGCGUGAGCGAUGAAGGCCUUCGGGUCGUAAAGCUCUGUUGUUAGAGAAGAACAAGUACGAGAGUAACUGCUCGUACCUUGACGGUACCUAACCAGAAAGCCACGGCUAACUACGUGCCAGCAGCCGCGGUAAUACGUACGUGGCAAGCGUUAUCCGGGAAUUAUUGGGCGUAAAGCGCGCGCAGGCGGUCU
rnacentral:rRNA from 1 species